GAGUUUGAUCUUGGCUCAGAUUGAACGCUGGCGGCAGGCCUAACACAUGCAAGUCGAGCGGUAGAGAGAAGCUUGCUUCUCUUGAGAGCGGCGGACGGGUGAGUAAUGCCUAGGAAUCUGCCUGGUAGUGGGGGAUAACGCUCGGAAACGGACGCUAAUACCGCAUACGUCCUACGGGAGAAAGCAGGGGACCUUCGGGCCUUGCGCUAUCAGAUGAGCCUAGGUCGGAUUAGCUAGUUGGUGAGGUAAUGGCUCACCAAGGCGACGAUCCGUAACUGGUCUGAGAGGAUGAUCAGUCACACUGGAACUGAGACACGGUCCAGACUCCUACGGGAGGCAGCAGUGGGGAAUAUUGGACAAUGGGCGAAAGCCUGAUCCAGCCAUGCCGCGUGUGUGAAGAAGGUCUUCGGAUUGUAAAGCACUUUAAGUUGGGAGGAAGGCAGUAAAUUAUACUUUGCUGUUUUGACGUUACCGACAGAAUAAGCACCGGCUAACUCUGUGCCAGCAG
rnacentral:rRNA from 1 species